GGGGUUGUGGAUCAAUGGUAGAGCACUUGCCUAGCAAGUGUGAGGCACUGGGUUCAAUCCUCAGCACCAUCA
rnacentral:tRNA from 1 species